rnacentral:tRNA from 1 species
GCCUCGGUAGCUCAGCGGAUCAGAGUGUCGGUUUCCGAAGCCGAAGGUCCCAGGUUCGAAUCCUGGUCGGGGCG